rnacentral:rRNA from 1 species
GAUGAACGCUGGCGGCGUGCCUAAUACAUGCAAGUCGAGCGAACAGAUGAGGAGCUUGCUCCUCUGACGUUAGCGGCGGACGGGUGAGUAACACGUGGAUAACCUACCUAUAAGACUGGGAUAACUUCGGGAAACGGGAGCUAAUACCGGAUAAUAUAUUGAACCGCAUGGUUCAAUAGUGAAAGACGGCUUUGCUGUCACUUAUAGAUGGAUCCGCGCCGCAUUAGCUAGUUGGUAAGGUAACGGCUUACCAAGGCAACGAUGCGUAGCCGACCUGAGAGGGUGAUCGGCCACACUGGAACUGAGACACGGUCCAGACUCCUACGGGAGGCAGCAGUAGGGAAUCUUCCGCAAUGGGCGAAAGCCUGACGGAGCAACGCCGCGUGAGUGAUGAAGGUCUUCGGAUCGUAAAACUCUGUUAUUAGGGAAGAACAAAUGUGUAAGUAACUAUGCACGUCUUGACGGUACCUAAUCAGAAAGCCACGGCUAACUACGUG